rnacentral:tRNA from 1 species
GCUAGUUUAGUUUAUAUAUAAAAUAUUUGACUUGUAAUCGAGGGAGUUGUCUAGCA